rnacentral:rRNA from 1 species
UAUUAUAAUUAAUGUAAUAUGAUUAUUUGAGUAGUAGUAGAUGUUCUUGAAACUUAAAGAAUUUGGCGGUAUUUUAGUCUUUUCAGAGGAAUUUGUUUCUUAAUUGAUAAUACACGAUUUGUUAAACUUAAUUUGGUUAUCAGCUUGUAUACCGCCGUCAUAAGAUUAUUUUUGUUUUGAGGAUUAAUUUUCUUAUAUUUAUAAUAGAAGUUAUGUCAGGUCAAGGUGCAGUUUAUAAUUAAGAUGAAAAUGAGUUACAAUAAUUUUAGUUAUUACGAAUGGUGAUGGUAAGAUGAGUUUGAAGGUGGAUUUGAUUGUAAAUUUAUUUUUAAUUUUUUUGUUGAUUUGGGCUCUAAAAUGUGUACAUAUCGCCCGUCGCUCUCAUAUUUUUUAAUGAG